UGGGGGAGGGGAGAUUUGGAUUUUUGUCAUUCACGUCUUAUUUAGGUCUCCCACGCUUCUGCCCCGCUGCUUGAGCGUUUGAAUUGAGUUGGUGUUGGUGUAUAUUUGACUACAGCAGGUGAACACGCUCUGGGAAACACGCUAGCCCACUGGCUUUGUGUGUGUGUGUGUGUGUGUGUGUGUGUGUGUGUGUGUGUGUGUGUGUGUGUGUGUGUGUGUGUGUGUCCACUCAGGGGUGUAAUAUGAGAGUUGGAGAGAUUGCUGCAUCUGAGAGCCGCCGUUUGCCUGACAACAACACAGCGAGAGAGGAAAGCCUUCAGCCAACAACAGCGGAGAAGCAGCCGUCACAGGGUUUUCGCGUUGAAACCGUGCCUUCCCAUUUGCAGCUGUGAUGACGACCUUUUUAAAUGGAGUCACCUCUGCUAGUGAGAUCGCUGGAUUGCGGGCGACCCCUGUGUCUGAUUCGUUCUAACCUAUGCAUCUGCAUUCCUCUCUCUCUCUGUUUGUGUACCUGAUUGGCGGAUUGACUGAUUUAUGUACUGUCUGUACUUUAAUAUGAAAGGAGUGGGUGCAUUAUCUUUAAAGGCUGCAGGUUGAAAUUGUUUGACCCUCUUUUGGGAGAGGCUAGUGCUGUGUCUUGGGUACCCUUUUAACUGACCUGGAUGUGAGAGAGCGGCUGGCUCGGCGAUCUCUGGACUGCUGGCUCCGCUGAAUACAAAGCGAGACAAGACAAGAAGAACAAGUGCAAAAAUAAUCCACAAGAGAAAAAAAAAAUUCUUACCAGACAUUAUAAGAUUAUUGUUUUGUUCUUAACUACAGGAUAGAUGCUUACUCGGCCCCAAGAUGUGAAUCUUAGUCUUCAGAUUUGUUCACGAGUGGAAUAUUUUUAAAAUUAAGCCAAUUUCUCCCCUGCUGUGCCGAACAUUGGAUUAGUCACAAACAAAAUUAUUGCACUAUAGCUUAGAAUAUAACUUAGAGUUUUGGAGCACACUUGUCGACCUUUUUAAAACCCCUACAAUCCAAUGAUUUGACAACGAAUGAUUGCGCGAUACUUUCAAUUUGAAUAUUCAAAGCCUAGACAAAAAGACUGCUCUCUUGCUAAAACACUGUGCAUUUCCAUGUACUAAAGCCUUCAAUGGAAUAAAAUACAAUGUAAAAGUGUGGAACUUUCAGCAGAUUUUGGUACAUUUUGAUGAUUUUAGCAAUCUUUGCUCGGGGAGCUUUGAGAGUACCAGACAUGUCCAUAAUUUUACAUCUGCGAGGCCUUUUCAAUAUCAAACCACCACCAACAUCACCAACAUGAUUGCAAGGGAUGUCCUGAAUCUCUGGACAUACUUUAUAUUGUCGAAUUACUAUAAAAUGUACUAUUCAAUCACAUUUUGAUGCCUAACAUGGCAGAUUGUGGGCGUGGCCUCUCCGGACUUCAUUCCACCACACAGUUAGAAAUGAAAGAACGAGUGUUGACCCACACGUGGUCUCACAUCAGCUUCCUCUGCGCCCAAUCCCCACUAAUAAGCACGUUUCUCCUUAAAAUCGCUAAUUUCAGGCCGGGUGUGUGAGUGCAGGCCCCAGGACAGCAGCGCAGCCGUCUAACGCUGCACCUGCAGCGCCUAGCGUCCCCUUUCUCAUUCUGACGCUUGACAAAGUUGACAUGGGCCCAAGUGAGAGACGUUGGACAAUAUUCCAGCUCACAGAUGCUGUGUUUUAAACGCAUUGUGUCAAUGUUCACCGGAGUUUAAUUUUAUCAUGGUAUAUAACUAAUAAACAUAUUC